rnacentral:rRNA from 1 species
CAGCCGCCGCGGUAAUACAGAGGGUGCAAGCGUUAAUCGGAAUUACUGGGCGUAAAGCGCGCGUAGGUGGUUUGUUAAGUUGGAUGUGAAAUCCCCGGGCUCAACCUGGGAACUGCAUCCAAAACUGGCAGGCUAGAGUAGGGCAGAGGGUGGUGGAAUUUCCUGUGUAGCGGUGAAAUGCGUAGAUAUAGGAAGGAACACCAGUGGCGAAGGCGACCACCUGGGCUCAUACUGACACUGAGGUGCGAAAGCGUGGGGAGCAAACAGGAUUAGAUACCCGUGUAGUCCCUGUCUCUUAUAC